rnacentral:rRNA from 1 species
AUGGGUAGAACCAAUGCUAAUCCUAUCUGGGGUAAGAUCUAGAAACUAUCUUAUCCGGCAAAGGUAAAAAUUUUCAUCUGGCGUACAUUGCAUGGAACUCUCCCGUGCCGUGUUAUGCUUGCUAAUAGACACAUGAAAAUUUUGCCCAUCUGCCCAUCAUGCUCAAAUGGGCCAGAAGACACAAAACACGCCUUGUUUCUGUGUCAAAAGGCGAAAGAGGUUUGGAACAAGUUAGGAUUGUAUGUGGUCAUCAAUAGAGCUUGUAGUGUCGAUCGGGCAGGAGAGACAGUUCUUGAAAUGUUACUACUUGCUAGACCAAGAAUUGUAUUGGGACUCCAAAACGUACGUGAAUUGAUUGCUAUAACAACUUGGUAUCUAUGGUGGGAUAGACAUAAACUGGUUCAUGAAGGAAAGUCUCAAGAUGCACAUCAAACUUCGAUGGGGGCUCGUGCCAUAACGGCGAACUACGUUAAUGCACACUCCCCUAAGGCAACCAGUAAAAUAAGGGGAUGGACCAGACCUCCUAUGGGUUUUGUGAAACUAAAUGUUGAUGCUUCCUUUGAUCACGAUCUGCUUAGGAGCACGACAGGGGAUGUCCUCAGAGAUGACAAAGGAAGGUUCAUUGUUGGCGGAAAUUGGAGGAUUGAUUGGUGUGUUGAUGUAUUAACAACAGAAGCACUAGCUCUAAGGUUUGGCUUAAUCCUUGCACAGAAGGCUGGUUGCAAUCGCAUUAUUGUCAACUUUGAUAAUAUGGAAGUGAUUGACACAAUAAAAAAUGGAGGACAAUCAGCGGGUGCAGCAGUGGCAGUGUUCGACGAUUGCUAUUUUAUGGCAUGUGAUUUUUUUGUUACUAGGUUUGAGCAUUGUAAUAGGGAAGCAAAUAAGGUUACUCAUGAACUUGCUAGACUAGCGAAAUUUCCAGAGACUAGGGAUUGGUGUGAGGAGCCUAUGGAUGAUAUUGUAUCUUUUCUUAUUGAUGAUGUAACUCUUAUUUCCAAUUAA